rnacentral:rRNA from 1 species
UACGUAUGGAGCAAGCGUUAUCCGGAUUUACUGGGCGUAAAGGGAGCGUAGGCGGCCUGCCAAGUCUGAUGUGAAAUACCGGGGCUCAACCCCGGGACUGCAUUUGGAACUGUCAGACUGGAGUGUCGGAGAGGCAGGCGGAAUUCCUAGUGUAGCGGUGAAAUGCGUAGAUAUUAGGAGGAACACCGGCGGCGAAGGCGGCCUGCUGGACCGUAACUGACGUUGAGGCUCGAAAGCGUGGGGAGCAAACAGG